rnacentral:lncRNA from 1 species
GUGUCAUGUGGAGGAACAUCAGGAGUUUGAAGAUCUGAGAAAUCUACCAUGCGAUUCUUACUGGUCCUUGUCCUCUUGGGAGGAAUAGCCUGCAGUUUCCAUGGUGCACUUUCUAACCAACUCUCUGGCUUUGGGAAUGGAUUUUUUUAUGCUGGUGAAGAGAAGCCUGGAGGCAGAAUCCAGGCCAUUCAAUUCUUCCUGGGGUUAUUUGGCGAAUUCAAGGGCAUCCAGAUAAAAAUAAAUGAUCAAUGGAGUGAAAAAUAUG